rnacentral:rRNA from 1 species
AUUGAACGCUGGCGGCAGGCCUAACACAUGCAAGUCGAGCGAGCGGCGGACGGGUGAGUAAUGUAUGGGGACUGCCCGAUAGAGGGGGAUAACUACUGGAAACGGUGGCUAAUACCGCAUACUAUCGGAUAACCCAUAUGGGAUUAGCUAGUAGGUGGGGUAAAGGCUCACCUAGGCGACGAUCUCUAUCUGGUCUGUGAGGAUGCUCAGCAACACUGCGACUGAGACACGGCCCAGACGCCUACGGAGAGAGCAGGGGGGAAUGUUGAUCAAUGGGCGCAAGCCUGAUGCAGCCAUGCCGCGUUGAUGAAGAAGGCCUUAGGGUUGUAAAGUACUUUCAGCGGGGAGGCGUUACCCGAAGAAGAAGCACCGGCUAACUCCGUGCCAGCAGCCGCGGUAAUAC